AUUCAGCUGACGGGUGCUAAAUAGGACGAAACGCGCGUCUUGAAU
rfam:Schistosoma haematobium scaffold1339_2, whole genome shotgun sequence.